rnacentral:rRNA from 1 species
AUUGAACGCUGGCGGCAGGCCUAACACAUGCAAGUCGAGCGGAGCGGCGGACGGGUGCGUAAUGCCUAGGCAUCUGCCUGGUGGUGGGGGGUAGCGUCCGGAAGCGGGCGCUGAUACCGCAUACUAUCAGAUGAGACUAGGUCGGAUUCGCUAGUGGGUGGGGUAAAGGCCUACCAAGGCGACGAUCCGUAACUGGUCUGAGAGGAUGAUCAGUAACACUGGAACUGAGACACGGCCCAGACUCCUACGGGAGGCAGCAGGGGGGAAUAUUGGAAAAUGGGCGAAAGCCUGCUGCAGCAAUGCCGCGUGUGUGAAGAAGGUCUUCGGAUUGUAAAGUACUUUAAGUUGGGAGGCGUUACCAACAGAAUAAGCACCGGCUAACUUCGUGCCAGCAGCCGCGGUAAUUC